rnacentral:rRNA from 1 species
GACGAACGCUGGCGGCGUGCCUAAUACAUGCAAGUAGAACGCUGAAGGAGGAGCUUGCUUCUCUGGAUGAGUUGCGAACGGGUGAGUAACGCGUAGGUAACCUGCCUGGUAGCGGGGGAUAACUAUUGGAAACGAUAGCUAAUACCGCAUAAUAGUAGAUGUUGCAUGACAUUUGCUUAAAAGGUGCAAUUGCAUCACUACCAGAUGGACCUGCGUUGUAUUAGCUAGUUGGUGGGGUAACGGCUCACCAAGGCGACGAUACAUAGCCGACCUGAGAGGGUGAUCGGCCACACUGGGACUGAGACACGGCCCAGACUCCUACGGGAGGCAGCAGUAGGGAAUCUUCGGCAAUGGACGGAAGUCUGACCGAGCAACGCCGCGUGUGUGAAGAAGGUUUUCGGAUCGUAAAGCUCUGUUGUAAGAGAAGAACGAGUGUGAGAGUGGAAAGUUCACACUGUGACGGUAUCUUACCAGAAAGGGACGGCUAACUACGUG